rnacentral:tRNA from 3 species
GCAUCUGUAGCUUAGUUGACCAAAGCAACCGACUCUUAAUCGGAAGAUCCUGAGUUUGAAUCUCAGCAGAUGUACCA